GAUGAAGAACGUAGCGAAAUGCGAUACUUGGUGUGAAUUGCAGAAUCCCGUGAACCAUCGAGUCUUUGAACGCAAGUUGCGCCCGAAGCCACUAGGCCGAGGGCACGCCUGCCUGGGCGUCACACGUCGUUGCCCCCCCAUCUACUCCUUCGGGAUUGCGGGGGGCGGAUGAUGGCCUCUCGUGCGCCUCGUCGCGCGGUUGGCCUAAAUGCCAAGUCCUCGGCGACGCACGCCACGACAAUCGGUGGUUGCGAAACCUCGGUUGCCUGUCGUGUGCGGUCGUCGCGCAUCGAGGGCUCGAAAAAAUUGCCGGGCUUCGGCUCGACUUUCAACGCGACCCCAGGUCAGGCGGGGUUACCCGCUGAAUUUAAGCAUAUCAAUAAGCGGAGGA
rnacentral:misc_RNA from 1 species